UACGUAGGGGGCAAGCGUUGUCCGGAAUCAUUGGGCGUAAAGAGCGUGUAGGCGGCCCGAUAAGUCCGCCGUGAAAGUCCAGGGCUCAACCCUGGAAUGCCGGUGGAAACUGUCGGGCUGGAGUCCGGAAGAGGCGAGUGGAACUCCUGGUGUAGCGGUGGAAUGCGCAGAUAUCAGGAAGAACACCGACGGCGAAGGCAGCUCGCUGGGCCUGUACUGACGCUGAGGAACGAAAGCGUGGGGAGCGAACAGG
rnacentral:rRNA from 1 species